rnacentral:lncRNA from 1 species
UGCGAUACUGUUCAGGCUGGCCUUGAGUUCACUUUGUAGCCCAGGCUGGUCUCAAACUCUCAGUGAUCCUCCAACCUCAGCCUCCUGAGUGCUGGGAUUACAAGUGUGCACCACGAGACCCAGCUGCAUUAUCUUGUUUAUGCUGUUCAUUUCUAUUUUUAUAUUUUAUAUAUUUCUUGAGGGAUAUUUUUAACUGCCAAUGUUAAAGGAUAUUUAACUUAAAUUUCAUAUUUUGUUACUUGUUUUCCUGCUUUGCGAUGUUUUGUAAUAAUUUUCCUCACCUGAAAUGUUUUCUUUCAUUUUUUAUUUUCAGUUAUGGUAACUUUGUGUAGAUGCUGUCUUUUAUUUUCUACUAAUUUUAGGAAGUCCUAUAUUUUCCUUUGCCAGAAUAAUGCAUAUAAAGCAAUGAGUCUGAUGGCUUACUAGAUUUCUUAGUUCAUGAGUACUCUCUUCUGUUUGCAUGAAGACACGCAAAUUCUUUAAUUAAGGUCAACAGCUAGAAUAAUAAUUAGUCUGCCUUCUCGUUCAAUUUUCUUUUGUUUCUGUAAGGCCUUUAAUUUCUGCCACUUACUUAUUUCUCCCUGUUUACCUCCAAAAUCCAAAAGAACCCUUUCCCUUUCAAGCUCUUCCUUCUUUUCCUGUAACACAAGUGCAACUCUCAAUUUUAGUUGCCUGCACGUUAAGGCUUUUCAUUUCAAUUCUCCACCGCCAGAACUCAUUCAAGUGUCAGAUUUAUUUUCAGCAUCUCUGCCAGCAGGGUGGGUCUCACCUUUUGGCAGAUGAGUACUCUGUGUCUAUUUAUCUUUCAAGUGCUCACUCUUCUUUUCUUUUUCAUAGGCAGUCUUCUUUUGGCUUACCGCUCUUGAAAGGCUCCAGAGAGUAGAAGAUGAUCAUAGAGAAUACUGGAAUGCCUGAUUUUAUAGACACAUAGUAUCAGAGAAGAAUUUUGAAAAGUGCCAGAGUAA